rnacentral:rRNA from 1 species
AAUCAACGCUGGCGGCGUGCCUAACACAUGCAAGUCGAACGCGACUGGGGGCUUCGGCCUCAGUUGAGUGGCGAACGGGUNAGUAACACGUGGGUGACCUACCUUCGAAUCGGGGGGAUAACGUCCCGAAAGGGACGCGUAAUACCGCAUAACAUCCUGCCUUUGAACAGGCGGAGAUCAAAGCCGGGGAUCGCAAGACCUGGCGUUU